rnacentral:tRNA from 1 species
GCACCUGUAGCUCAGUGGCUAGGGCGCUGGCCACAUACACCAGAGCUGGUAGGUUCAAAUCCGGCCUGGGGCC